rnacentral:rRNA from 1 species
AUUGAACGCUGGCGGAAUGCUUUACACAUGCAAGUCGAACGGCAGCACGGGGCAACCUGGUGGCGAGUGGCGAACGGGUGAGUAAUACAUCGGAACGUGCCCAAUCGUGGGGGAUAACGUAGCGAAAGUUACGCUAAUACCGCAUACGAUCUAAGGAUGAAAGCGGGGGAUCGAAAGACCUCGCGCGAAUGGAGCGGCCGAUGUCAGAUUAGGUAGUUGGUGGGGUAAAGGCUCACCAAGCCGACGAUCUGUAGCUGGUCUGAGAGGACGACCGGACACACUGGGACUGGGACACGGCCCAGACUCCUACGGGAGGCAGAAGUGGGGAAUUUUGGACAAUGGGCGCAAGACUGAUCCAGCCAUUCCGCGUGCAGGAUGAAGGCCUUCGGGUUGUAAGCUGCUUUUGUACGGAGCGAAAAGGCUCUCUCUAAUACAGGGGGCUCAUGACGGUACCGUAAGAAUAAGCACCGGCUAACUACGUGCCAGCCGCCGCGGUAAUAC